rnacentral:rRNA from 1 species
ACGCUCGACACCUACUGGAGGCAGCAGUGGGGAAUAUUGCACAAUGGGGGAAACCCUGAUGCAGCGACGCCGCGUGGAGGAAGAAGGUCUUCGGAUUGUAAACUCCUGUUGUUGGGGAAAAAGAGGAUGGUACCCAACAAGGAAGUGACGGCUAACUACGUGCCAGCAGCCGGUGGUAAUCUGAGGCGGGCUGGACAAGGC